rnacentral:rRNA from 1 species
CCCUUAGAUGUCCGGGGCUGCACGCGCGCUACACUGAAUGAAUCAGCGUGCUAGAAAACCUUGUUUGACAUGGCUAGGUAACCCAUUGAAAAUCAUUCGUGAUUGGGAUCGGGACUUGCAAAUGUGUCCCUUGAACGAGGAAUUCCCAGUAAGUGCGGGUCAUCAGCUCGCGUUGAUUACGUCCCUGCCCUUUGUACACACCGCCCGUCGCUACUACCGAUUGAAUGGUUUAGUGAGGCCUUCGGAUCCGCGACUCGUUUGUGGAAAAGUUGGACAAACUCAGUCAUUUAGAGGAAGUAAAAGUCGUAACA